rnacentral:rRNA from 1 species
UACGGAGGGGACUAGCGUUGUUCGGAAUUACUGGGCGUAAAGGGUGCGUAGGCGGUUGGGUGCGUUCGCCCUGAAAGCACCGGGCUCAACCCGGUGAGGCGGGCGAAUACGACCCGACUCGAGGCUCAGAGAGGGUGGCGGAACUCCUGGUGUAGUGGUGAUAUGCGUAGAGAUCAGGAAGAACACCCGUGGCGCAAGCGGCCACCUGGCUGAGAACUGACGCUGAGGCACGAAAGCGUGGGGAGCGAACCGG